UGACGCAUUUGCUUCUUCCUGGCCCCCGACCCCUCUCCUCCGCCCUCCGUUGGGCUUCUCUUCCCGUCUCCGGUUCUUGGAGGUAAAAAAAAAUUCAGUCCCUUGAAAUUCCCCUCAAUCCCCAUUGGAAAACUCUAUUCGGUUUGCCAAAUCUUGUCUCCGGCGCUCCCGAUCCGUGCUUAGAAUCGUCAUCUCCGAUCCGAUCUCCACCUCCUUCGAGGUUUGUGAUCUUGCCCCCGUAAUUCACCAAGAUCCGAAGCGAUCUAAUCCAGAUCUGCCCCCCUGUUGGCCCUCUUCUAGGGUUAGGGUUAGCAACAGCUGCAGCGGCAGAGCGAUCAAGGGUUAGGGUUGGAGCAGAAGCAAUGGAGAAAUCUUGCACGCUUCUGAUCCACUUCGAAAAGGGCUCCCCGGCCCUUGCGAACGAGAUCAAGGAGGCCAUGGAGGGAAACGACGUCUCGGCCAAGGUCGACGCCAUGAAGAACGCCAUCAUGCUCCUCCUCAACGGCGAGACCCUCCCCCAGCUCUUCAUCACCAUCGUCCGCUACGUCCUCCCCUCCGAGGAUCACACCAUCCAAAAGCUCCUCUUGCACUACCUGGAGAUCAUCGACAAGACCGACGCCCGCGGCCGCGUCCUCCCGGAGAUGAUCCUCAUCUGCCAGAACCUCCGCAACAACCUCCAGCACCCCAACGAGUACAUCCGCGGCGUCACCCUCCGCUUCCUCUGCCGCCUCUCCGAAGCCGAGAUUUUGGAGCCCCUCAUCCCCUCCAUCCUCACUAACCUCGAGCACCGCCACCCUUUCAUCCGCCGCCACGCCCUCCUCGCCAUCUCCGCCAUCUACCGCCUCCCCCAGGGCGAGCAUCUCCUCCCCGACGCACCCGAUCUGGUCGAGAAGGCCCUCUCCACCGAGCAGGACCUGUCGGCCCGCCGCAACGCCUUCCUCAUGCUCAUCACCUGCGCCCAGGACCGUGCCGUGAGCUACCUCCUCUCCCACGCUGAUCAGGUCCCCGCGUGGGGUGACCUCCUCCAGAUGGCCGUCCUCGACCUCAUCCGCAAGGUCUGCCGCUCCAACCGAGCCGAGAAGGGGAAGUACAUCAAGAUCAUCAUCUCCCUUUUGAACUCCCCCUCCACUGCGGUCAUAUAUGAGUGCGCUGGGACACUUGUCUCCCUGUCAUCCGCACCCACUGCUAUCCGUGCCGCCGCCAACACCUACUGCCAGCUCCUCCUCUCUCAGAGCGACAACAAUGUGAAGCUUAUUGUCCUCGACCGGCUCAAUGAGCUCAAGUCCUCCCACAGGGACAUCAUGGUGGAAGUCAUCAUGGAUGUGCUCAGAGCCCUAUCAAGUCCGAAUCUUGACAUCCGCCGCAAGACCUUGAACAUUGCAUUGGAGCUGAUUACCCCGAGGAACAUUGACGAGGUGGUGCUCACUCUGAAGAAGGAGGUCGUCAAGACCCAAAGUGGAGAGCUUGAGAAGAAUGGAGAGUACAGACAGAUGCUGGUUCAAGCCAUCCACACAUGCGCAGUCAAGUUCCCGGAGGUCGCAAGCACCGUCGUCCAUCUCCUGAUGGAUUUCCUUGGAGACGCCAAUGUUGCAUCUGCCAUAGAUGUGGUUCUCUUUGUGCGAGAGAUAAUCGAGACCAACCCGAAGCUCAGAGUUUCUAUAAUCACGAGGUUGCUCGAUACGUUCUACCAGAUUAGGGCUGGACGUGUCUGCUCAUGCGCCCUUUGGAUCAUUGGGGAAUACUGCCUCUCAUUGUCUGAAGUGGAGAGUGGGAUCGCAACAAUUAAGCAGUGCCUUGGAGAUCUCCCAUUCUACACCAUCAAUGAGGAGGGGGAGGCGACUGAUGCGUUGAAGCUGCCCCAACAGGUGAACUCCUUCGUUACUAUUUCUUCGAGAAGACCAGUGAUUCUGGCAGAUGGGACAUAUGCAACGCAAAGUGCUGCUUCUGAGACUUCUUUUUCUGCCCCCACAAUUGUUCCUGGUUCCUUGGCUUCAACUGGAAAUUUGAGGUCUUUAAUUCUUUCGGGUGACUUCUUCUUAGGGGCAGUUGUUUCUUGCACUCUGACUAAGCUUGUUUUAAGAUUGGAGGAGGUCCAGCCAUCAAAGGCUGAGGCCAACAAAGCUUGCACCAGCACCUUGUUGAUCAUGGUCUCCAUGCUGCAGUUGGGGCAGUCUUCAUCUGUACCCCACCCAAUUGAUAAUGAUUCUUAUGACAGAAUCAUGCUCUGCAUAAGGCUGCUCUGCAAUACUGGUGACGAGGUUAGGAAGAUUUGGCUGCAAUCAUGUCGCCAGAGUUUUGCAAAGAUGCUUGCAGAAAAGCAGUUCCGAGAAACAGAGGAGAUUAAAGCAGUGGCCCAAAUAUCUCACACACAGCCUGAUGAUCUUAUUGAUUUCUACCAUUUGAAGAGUAGAAAGGGUAUGAGCCAGCUUGAAUUAGAGGAUGAGGUUCAAGAUGAUUUAAAACGUGCGACUGGAAUGUUUAUGAAGGAUGGAAAUGAUGCAAACAGAUUGAAUCGUAUUCUGCAACUCACAGGAUUUAGUGAUCCUGUGUAUGCUGAAGCAUAUGUGACUGUCCAUCAUUACGACAUUGUUCUUGAUGUUACAGUCAUUAACCGAACAAAAGAGACUCUUCAGAAUUUGUGUUUGGAAUUGGCAACCAUGGGGGACCUCAAACUUGUAGACCGCCCACAGAACUAUACACUAGCACCAGAGUCAAGCAAGCAAAUUCGAGCCAAUAUCAAGGUCUCAUCAACAGAAACAGGAGUUAUAUUUGGUAACAUUGUUUAUGAGACUUCAAAUGUGCUCGAGCGAACUGUUGUUGUCCUAAAUGACAUUCACGUUGACAUCAUGGACUACAUAUCUCCUGCUACCUGUGCUGAUGUGGCAUUUAGAAGUAUGUGGGCAGAAUUUGAAUGGGAAAACAAGGAAAAUCGUUACCUUCACAGUGCCUUAAUAAUAUAUUAUCUCAACCAAAUGGCAUGGAGGAGGUUCUUCCAAUUUCAAAUAAGUAGAUCCUAUGUGUAUCUACCUAUGUAUCUCUGUGGCAGUGAACACUGUAAUUCAGGGUGAAAAGGAAUUUUUGAAUCACAUCAUCAAGUCAACAAACAUGAAGUGUCUUACUCCACCUUCUGCAUUGGAGGGGGAAUGUGGCUUUCUUGCAGCUAAUUUGUAUGCAAAGAGUGUCUUUGGAGAGGAUGCUUUGGUGAAUGUCAGUGUUGAGAAACAGGCAGAUGGGAAGCUUAGUGGUUACAUUAGGAUAAGAAGCAAGACGCAAGGUAUUGCCCUCAGUUUAGGGGACAAGAUCACACUCAAACAGAAGGGAAGCAGUUAGCUGAGAAAUCUCAUCCGUCAAAUCUCUUUUUAAUCAUCCUCUCGUACUGCAUUUUUAUUUUUAAGUUUUUGCCGGUUUUCACAUUCAGUAAUCUUCCCACCACCCUAUGCUGCCUUUGUAUGCUUAUGGGUUAGUAAUAGUAUCAUGAGGGCCAGCAUUUGUCUCUCGCUUAGCUUUGCUUGUAGUACAUGUAUAUGGGAACAUAAUUCUAUGUCUGUUUAGCUCAAGGAGGUUUCUUUUUUGAAAGUCUGCGAGCACAAAUCGGACCAAAUCAGCCAUUAUGUUGAAGGCGGCCUGUAUACGUUGGGGGACCUAUUCAUUUAUAUGAAUUGCGUCUAUGAAAUUUUAUAACUAGGAAUUUUUGAUCA